CCAAAAUUUAACCCGGUUCGAUUUAAUGGGGGGGGAGGGGCGGGUUUAGCGCUGUGCCCAUCCCCCCCUCCCCCACCGCGACCCCUCCCCGAAAUGUUUUUAUGGGGGUGGGUGGGGGGAGGGGGUGAAAAGACCCCCCAAAACCCCCAGGCCCCGCCCCCACCCCCUAAAAUUCAGCCCGGUUUCAUUUAUGGGGGGGGGGAGGGGCGGUUUUAGCGCUGUUCCCAUCCCCCCCUCCCCCACCGCGACCCCUCCCCGAAAUCCCAAAUUGUUUUUUGGGGAGGGGGAGGGGCACAGAUCCCACUGCGGCCGGCGGACAUGGAGGGGUCUUUACUGUGGGGGGAGGGGCGGGACGCCCCCCCCAGGGAGAUUUUGGGGUCGUUUUCCCCAAUUUUUGUCCCCCCCCGGUGACACCGGAGGGGUCCCGAGCAGCGGAGCGGGGGAGGGGAGGGGUCAGCCGAGGGUCCGGGAUGGAUUUUGGGGGGGCUGGAAUGGAUCCUGGAGGUCUGGAAUGGAUUCAGGAUGGUCCGGAAUGGAUUCCCUGGGUCAGGAAUGGAUUCCAAAGGUCCGGAAUGGAUUCAGGGUGGUCCGGAAUGGAUUCUGGAGGUCUGGAAUGGAUUUGGGAGGUCUGGAAUGGAUUCAAGGUGGUCCAGAAUGGAUUUUAGGGGGUCCAGAAUGGAUUCCAAAGGUCCGGAAUGGAUUCGGGGUGGUCCGGAAUGGAUUCCCUGGGUCAGGAAUGGAUUCCAAAGGUCCGGAAUGGAUUUGGGAGGUCUGGAAUGGAUUUGGGGUGUCCGGAAUGGAUUCAGGGUGGUCCGGAAUGGAUUUUUGGGGGUCCGGAAUGGAUCGGGGGGGCUGGAACAGAUCUGGGGGUCCCGGGCCCCCCCAAACCGCGGGCACGGAAACGGCCCCGAGUCCUUUCCCCUCCUGCCCCACCGGCCCGGGGGGGCCCAGUCCCGGUUCUGGUCCCGGUUCCGGUUCCAGAGGAAUCCAGUUCCAGUUGUUUCCCAGUCCAGGUCCCAGUUCCGGUUCCGGAGUUUUCUUGGUCCCAGUUCCAGUUCUGGAGUUUCCCCAGUCCCGCUUCCAGUCCCGGUUCCGGUUCCAGUCCCGGUUCCGGUUCCAGUCCUGGUUCUGGCUGUGUCCCAGUCCCAGUCCCAGUUCCAGAGUUUUCCUGGUCCCAGUCCAGGUCCCAGUUCCGGUUCCGGAUUUUCCCUGGUCCCGGUUCCAGUCCUGGUUCUGGUUCUUUCCCAGUCCUGGUUCCGGUUCCAGUUCCGGUUCCGGAUUUUCCCAUUUCCGGUCCGUUCAGCCCAGGUGCAGCCGCUGGUGCCGGAUGAGGGCGGAGCUUCCCCCGAAGCCCCUCCCACAAUCCGCGCAGGUGAGGGGCGUGGCACCGACCUCAGGUGUGUCACAGGUGAGGGGCGUGUCACAGGUGAGGGGCGUGUCCCCCAUGUGGGGCGUGUCCCAGCGCAGGGGCGUGGCCGGGGCGUGGCCGCUCAGGUGCGCCAGGAGGGCGUGUCCCCGCCCCAGCCCCGCCCCGCAGCGGCCGCAGGUGUGCCCGGGCGCCGCCUUCCUCCUCCUCCUCCUCCUCCGGCGGCCCUCGGGCUCCUCCCCGUGGGCGUGGCGGUGCUUCAGGAGGGCGGAGCUGUAGCGGAAGCCCCGCCCACACUCGGCACAGGUGAGGGGGCUCAGGUGAGCGCCCCGCCCCCGCUGGCCCCGCCCCCGGCCCCGCCCCGAGCACCGCCCCGGGGGGCGUGGCCGCUGCGGGGGCGUGGCCGGCGGGGGGGCGUGGCCGAACCCGCCCAGGUGCGCGCGGCGGCCCAGGUGAGCGCGGAGGCCACGCCCCCGGCGGGAGCCACGCCCACCCGGAGGGGGGAGGGGCGGGGCGGGGGGAGGGGACGGGGAGGGGGAGGGGAGGAGGAGGAGGAGGAGGGAGUCGGGCGUGGGGGGAGGGGCGGAGACUUCGGCCUCGGGGGCGGAGUCAUCGGCGGGGGCGGAGUCAUCGUCGCUCGGGGGGGCGGAGUCUGCGGAGAGCGGAAAUUUGGGGGAAAUUUGGGGAAUUUUGGGUAAUCGGUGGGAGUGGGGGAUGAUGGGAAAGUUCGGAGGGAAUUUGGGGGAAUUUGGGGAAAUUUGGGUAAUCGGUGGGAAUGGGAGAUAAUGGGAAAAUUCGGAGGAAAUUUGGGGGAAUUUGGGGAGAUUCGGGGUAAUCGGUGGAAAUGGGGAAUGAUGGGAAAAUUCAGAGGAAAUUUGGGGGAAUUUGGGGGAAUUUGGGGAAAAGAGGGAAAAUUUGGGGUGGGGGAAAUGGGGGAAAAUGGGGAAAAUAAUGGGGGAAAUAAUGUGGAAAUGUGAGAAAAAAAAUGGGGGAUAAGGGGAAAAAGGGAUUUGGGGAAAAAGGGGGAUGGGGAGAAAACGAACGGGAAUAAAGAAGAGAAAAGGGAUUUGGGGAAAAAAUGGGGGGAAUAGAGAAUUUGGGGAAAAGGGGAUAAAGGGGAAAAAAGGGAUGAGGAGCAAAAAAGGGAAUAAAAAAGAUAAAAUGUAUGAGGGGAAAAAAAAGGGGUAAAGGAAAAAAAAAAAGGAUUGGGGAAAAAAGAGGAUUAGGUGAAAAAAAAGGGGAAUACAAAAAUUAAAAAUGGGCGAGGUGGAAAAAAGGGGAUAAAGGAAAAAAAAAGGGAUUUGGGGAUAAAAAUUGGGGAAAUAGAAAUUCGGAAGGAAAGGGGGUCGGGGCUCACCUGGGGGGGCCACCCUGAGGAUCUGCCACUCCUUCGAGUCGUUGGGGUCCGGCACCCCCAACUCCUCCUCGGGCUCCGGCCGGGACACGAGGUUGGGCCUGGCCACGGGGAAAUCUGCCAAAAAACCCAAAAACGGGAAAUCAGAGGGGAAAUCUGCCAAAAAAAGGGAAAUCAGAGGGGAAAUCUGCCAAAAAACCCAAAAACGGGAAAUCAGAGGGGAAAUCUGCCCCAAAACCAGGAAAUCAGAGGGGAAAUCUGCCAAAAAACACCGAAAACGGGAAAUCAGAGGGGAAAUCUGCCAAAAAACGCCGAAAACGGGAAAUCGGAGGGGAAAUCUGCCAAAAAACGGGAAAUCAGAGCGGAAAUCUGCCAAAAAACCCAAAAACGGGAAAUCAGAGGGGAAAUCUGCCAAAAAAACGCCGAAAACGGGAAAUCAGAGGGGAAAUCUGCCAAAAAACGGGAAAUCAGAGGGGAAAUCUGCCAAAAAACCCCAAAAAUGGGAAAUCAGAGGAGAAAUCUGCCAAAAAACCCAAAAAUGGGAAAUCAGAGGGGAAAUCUGCACCAAAACCCCAAAAAUGGGAAAUCAGAGGGGAAACCUGCCAAAAAAACCCAAAAACGGGAAAUCAGAGGGGAAAUCUGCCCCAAAACCCCAAAAACGGGAAAUCAGAGGGGAAAUCUGCCAAAAAACCCCCAAAAUGGGAAAAUCAGAGGGGAAAUCUGCCAAAAACCCCCAAAACCUGGAAAAUCAGGGGGAGUUAUUUUGGGGACAGGAUUUUGGGGGGGUUAUUUUGGGGACAGGAUUUUGGGGCCGGGAAUUUUGGGGGAAUUAUUUUGAGGAGGGGGAUUUUGUAGGAGAAUUUUGGAGGAGGAAUUUGGGGAGGGGGAUUUUGGAGGGGAUUAUUUUGGGGGGAGGGUUUUGGGGAGGGGAUUUUGGGGAGGGGGAUUUUGGGGAGGGGGAUUUUGGGGAGGUGGAUUUUGCAGAGGAGGAGGAAUUUGGGGAGGGGAUUUUGGGGAGGGGUAUUUGGGGAGGGGUAUUUUGGGGAUGAGGGGUAUUUGGGGAGGAGGAAUUUGGGGAGGGGGAUUUUGAAGAUGAGGGGGAUUUGAGGAGGGGGAUUUGGGGAGGGGUAUUUUGGGGGCAUUAUUUUUGGGGAGGAUUUUGGGGAGGGGUAUUUUGGGGAGGGGUAUUUGGGGAGGGGAUUUUGGGGAUGAGGGGGAUUUGAGGAGGGGGAUUUUGGGAAGGAGGAGGAAUUUGGGGAGGGGUAUUUGGGGAGGGGAUUUUGGGGAGAGGGAUUUGAGGAGGGGGAUGUGGGGCGGGGGAUUUGGGGAGGGGGAUUUUAGGGAGGGGAUUUUGGGGAGGGGUAUUUGGGGAGGAGGAAUUUGAGGAGGGGGAUUUGGGGAGGGGGAAUUUGGGGAGGGGUAUUUUGGGGAUGAGGGGGAUUUGAGGAGGAGGAUUUUGGGGAUGAGGGGAAUUUGAGGAGGGGGAUUUUGGGGAGGGGUCUCACCCAGCAGCAUCAGCGCCUCGUAGCUCUCCUGCAUGGCGCCGCCGCCUCCGCUCGGCCCGGGCCGGGCACGGGGGGCUCGGGACCCCCCCCGGGACCCCCCCAGACCCCCCGGGACCCCCCGGGACCCCCCCCGGGACCCCCCCGGGCCCGCGGCCGCUCCGAGCGGAGCCGCCGCCGCUGACCCAGGAAGUGCCGCCCCCGGGGCGGGGCCGCUCCUUCCUCCUCCUCAUCCUCCUCCUCUUCCUCUUCCUCAGCAUCUUCGUCCUCAUCUUCCUCCUCCUCCUCAUCAUCUUCGUCCUCAGAUCUUCCUCCUCCUCCUCCUCCUCCUCCUCCUCCUCUUCCUCUUCCUCUUCCUCUUCCUUAUCAUCUUCAUCCUCAUCUUCCUCCUCUUCCUCAUCAUCUUCGUCCUCAGAUCUUCCUCCUCCUCCUCCUCCUCUUCAUCCUCAUCUUCAUCCUCAGCCCACGCUUCUCCUCCUCAUCUUCAUCCCCAGCCUGCUCUUCCUCCCCCUCCUCCUCCUCCUCCUCUUCAUCCUCAUCUUCAUCCCCACCCGCUCUCCUCCUCCUCAUCUUCAUCCCCACCCUGCUCCUCCUCCUCCUCUUCCUCAUCUUCAUUCCCAGCCCGCGCUUCUCCUCCUCAUCUUCAUCUCCCCAGCCUGCUCUUCCUCCUCAUCAUCAUCUUCAUCCUCAGCUCUUCCUCCUCCUCUUCCUCAGCUUCAUCCCAACCCCGCUCUUCUCUUCCUCCUCCUCCUGUCCUUCAUCCCCUCCCGCUCUCCUCCUCCUCACCUUCAUCCUCAGCCCGUGCUCCUCCUCUUCCUCAUCUUCAUCCCCACCCGCUCUCCUCCUCUUCCUCAUCUUCAUCCCCACCCGCUCUCCUCCUCCUCCUCAUCUUCAUCCCCACCCGCUCUCCUCCUCCUCAUCUUCAUCCCCACCCUGCUCCUCCUCCUCCUCUUCCUCAUCUUCAUUCCCAGCCCGCGCUUCUCCUCCUCAUCUUCAUCUCCCCAGCCUGCUCUUCCUCCUCAUCAUCAUCUUCAUCCUCAGCUCUUCCUCCUCCUCUUCCUCAGCUUCAUCCCAACCCCGCUCUUCUCUUCCUCCUCCUCCUCACCUUCAUCCCCACCCGCUCUUCUCCUCCUCCUCACCUUCAUCCUCAGCCCGUGCUCCUCCUCUUCCUCAUCUUCAUCCCCACCCGCUCUCCUCCUCCUCUUCUUCAUCCCCUCCCCGCUCUCCUCCGUCACCGGGGCUGCUUCACGGAAAUUUAACGCAAAAAAAAUAAAUAAAAAUAAAAUAAAAAUAAAAAUUUCAAAAAGGAUUUGGGCCGUGAGGGAAUAAAGGGGGAUCGCCCCUUAGCGCCUCUGUGACCAAUCAGCGGGCGGGAAACAAAGAGUGACGGGGCGUGCAGCCAAUCCGGAUGAGCGGUGCGGUUUGGGAGGGAAAAACCAGCCAAUAGGAGCGAGGGGCGGGCUCUGCAUGGGGUGGGGGGGUUUGUGAGGGGCAAGAAGCCCACAAAUGGCGGGGGAGAAGCGGGCCCAGGGAAGGGCCGGGGCUGCUGCUGCCGAGGGAGCGCGGGGGACACCGGGGGCGCCUCGCAGGAGUUAAACAAAGACAUAAAUGAAAUAACGAGGCAAAAGACGAAAAAUCCGCGCCGAGAUCGGGGCCGUGAGGGAAUAAAGGGGGAUCGCCCCUCAGCGCCGCUCUGACCAAUCAGCGCGCGAGAAACAAAGAGUGACGGGGCGUGCAGCCAAUCAGGAUGAGCGGUGCGGUUUGAGCGGGAUCCGCGCGGGGUAUAUAAAGAGCUGUGAGGGGUGAGUGACGCUCAAAUGGCGGGAGACGAACGGGGCUGGAGCGUUCGGAAAUGCUCUGGAAUGUUCCAGAAUGCCCCAAAAUG
ensembl:lncRNA